GGGUUUAUAGCUCAGUGGUAGAGUGCAUGCCUAGCAUGCAUGAGGUCCUGGGUUCAAUCCCCAGUACCUCCA
rnacentral:tRNA from 1 species